rnacentral:rRNA from 1 species
GACGAACGCUGGCGGCGUGCCUAAUACAUGCAAGUCGAGCGAAGUUUUUCUGGUGCUUGUACCGGCAAAACUUAGCGGCGAACGGGUGAGUAACACGUAAAGAACCUGCCUCAUAGACUGGGACAACUAUUGGAAACGAUAGCUAAUACCGGAUAACAGCCUUAACUGCAUGGUUGAUGUUUAAAAGUUGGUUUUGCUAACACUAUGAGAUGGCUUUGCGGUGCAUUAGCUAGUUGGUGGGGUAAAGGCCUACCAAGGCGACGAUGCAUAGCCGACCUGAGAGAGUGAUCGUCCACGCUGGGAGUGAGACACGGCCCAGACUCCUACGGGAGGCAGCAGUAGGGAAUCUUCCGCAAUAGGCGAAAGCAUGACGGAGCAACGCCGCGUGAGUGAAGAAGGAUUUCGGUUCGUAAAGCUCUGUUGUUAGGGAAGAAUGACUGUGUAGUAACUAUACACAGUAGAGACGGUACCUAACCAGAAAGCCACGGCUAACUACGUG